GACGAACGCUGGCGGCGUGCUUAACACAUGCAAGUCGAACGAAGAGCGAUGGAGGCUUGCUUCUAUCAAUCUUAGUGGCGCACGGGUGAGUCACGCGUAAUCAACCUGCCCUUCAGAGGGGGACAACAGUGGGAAACGACUGCUAAUACCGCAUACGAUCUAAUCUCGGCAUCGAGGAGAGAAGAAAGGUGGCCUCGACAUGUAAACUAUCACUCGAGGCGGGGAAUGCGGCUGAUUAGCUAGCUGGGGGGGUAAGGGCCGACCCAUGCGAGGAUCCGUAGCCGGUCUGAGAGGGUGGACCGCCACCUUGGGACUGAGACACGGCCCAGACUCCUACGGGAGGCCGCCGUUGGGAAUCUUCCGCAAAGGACGAAAGGCUGACGGGGCAAAGCCGCGUGAGUGAUGGAGGCCUUCGGGUUGUAAAGCUCUGUUAAUCGGGAAGAAAGGCCUUCUUGCGAAUAGUGAGACGGAUUGACGGUACCGGAAUAGAAAGCCACGGCUAACUACGUG
rnacentral:rRNA from 1 species